rnacentral:rRNA from 1 species
AGCAGCCGCGGUAAUUCCAGCUCCAAUAGCGUAUAUUAAAGUUGUUGCAGUUAAAAAGCUCGUAGUUGAAUUUCGGGAUCAAUAUGUUGGUCGUGCCUCGGUACGUACUGGCAUUAUUGGUUUCUACCUUCUGAAGAACCUCGAUGUCAUUAAUUUGGUGUCUUGGGGAAUCAGGACUGUUACUUUGAAAAAUUAGAGUGUUUAAAGCAGGCUCACGCUUGAAUACAUUAGCAUGGAAUAAUGAAAUAGGACGUUUGAUUCUAUUUUGUUGGUUUCUAGGAUUGACGUAAUGAUUAAUAGGGAUAGUUGGGGGCAUUAGUAUUCAAUUGUCAGAGGUGAAAUUCUUGGAUUUAUUGAAGACUGACUACUGCGAAAGCAUUUGCCAAGGAUGUUUCAUUAAUCAAGAACGAAGUUAGGGGAUCGAAGACGAUCAGAUACCGUCGUAGUCUUAACCAUAAACUAUGCCGACUAGGGAUCGGAUGAUGUUAAUUUUUAAUGUACUUA